rnacentral:rRNA from 1 species
CCUACGUGUGGCAGCAGUGAGGAAUAUUGGUCAAUGGACGAGAGUCUGAACCAGCCAAGUAGCGUGAAGGAUGACUGCCCUAUGGGUUGUAAACUUCUUUUAUAAAGGAAUAAAACGAGGCACGUGUGCCUUUUUGCAUGUACUUUAUGAAUAAGGAUCGGCUAACUCCGUGACAGCAGCCGCGGUAAUACGGAGGAUCCGAGCGUUAUCCGGAUUUAUUGGGUUUAAAGGGAGCGUAGAUGGGUUGUUAAGUCAGUUGUGAAAGUUUGCGGCUCAACCGUAAAAUUGCAAUUGAUACUGGCAGUCUUGAGUGGGCGAGAAGUAUGCGGAAUGCGUGGUGUAGCGGUGAAAUGCAUAGAUAUCACGCAGAACUCCGAUUGCGAAGGCAGCAUACCGGCGCCCAACUGACGCUGAAGCACGAAAGCGUGGGUAUCGAACAGGAUUAGAUACCCUUGUAGUC